rnacentral:rRNA from 1 species
AAAUGAAUAGACGGGGGCCCGCACAAGCGGCGGAGCAUGCGGAUUAAUUCGAUGCAACGCGAAGAACCUUACCUGGGUUUGACAUACACCCUGCCGCUCCAGAGAUGGGGUUUCUUUUGGGGGUGUACAGGUGGUGCAUGGCUGUCGUCAGCUCGUGUCGUGAGAUGUUGGGUUAAGUCCCGCAACGAGCGCAACCCUUGUCGCAUGUUGCCAGCACGCUACCCUUCGGGGUGGUGGUGGGGACUCAUGCGAGACUGCCGGGGUCAACUCGGAGGAAGGUGGGGAUGACGUCAAGUCAUCAUGCCCCUUAUGUCCAGGGCUUCACGCAUGCUACAAUGGCCGGUACAGAGGGCUGCGAUCCCGUGAGGGGGAGCGAAUCCCAAAAAGCCGGUCUCAGUUCGGAUUGGGGUCUGCAACUCGACCCCAUGAAGUCGGAGUCGCUAGUAAUCGCAGAUCAGCAACGCUGCGGUGAAUACGUUCCCGGGCCUUGUACACACCGCCCGU